rnacentral:rRNA from 1 species
CAGUCGCCGCGGGAAUACGUAGGGUGCAAGCGUUAAUCGGAAUUACUGGGCGUAAAGCGUGCGCAGGCGGUUAUAUAAGACAGAUGUGAAAUCCCCGGGCUCAACCUGGGAACUGCAUUUGUGACUGUAUAGCUAGAGUACGGCAGAGGGGGAUGGAAUUCCGCGUGUAGCAGUAAAAUGCGUAGAUAUGCGGAGGAAUACCGAUGGCGAAGGCAAUCCCCUGGGCCUGUACUGACGCUCAUGCACGAAAGCGUGGGGAGCAAACAGGAUUAGAUACCCCAGUAGUCCCUGUCUCUUAUAA